rnacentral:rRNA from 1 species
AGUGAACGCUGGCGGUAGGCCUAACACAUGCAAGUCGAACGGCAGCACAGUAAGAGCUUGCUCUUACGGGUGGCGAGUGGCGGACGGGUGAGGAAUACAUCGGAAUCUACUUUUUCGUGGGGGAUAACGUAGGGACACUUACGCUAAUACCGCAUACGACCUACGGGUGAAAGCAGGGGAUCUUCGGACCUUGCGCGAUUGAAUGAGCCGAUGUCGGAUUAGCUAGUUGGCGGGGUAAAGGCCCACCAAGGCGACGAUCCGUAGCUGGUCUGAGAGGAUGAUCAGCCACACUGGAACUGAGACACGGUCCAGACUCCUACGGGAGGCAGCAGUGGGGAAUAUUGGACAAUGGGCGCAAGCCUGAUCCAGCCAUACCGCGUGUGUGAAGAAGGCCUUCGGGUUGUAAAGCCCUUUUGUUGGGAAAGAAGAGCAGCAGGUUAAUACCCCGCUGUUCUGACGUUACCCAAAGAAUAAGCACCGGCUAACUUCGUG